rnacentral:rRNA from 1 species
UAGGGAAUCUUCGGCAAUGGGGGGAACCCUGACCGAGCAACGCCGCGUGAGUGAAGAAGGUUUUCGUAUCGUAAAGCUCUGUUGUUAAGUAAGAACGAGUGUGAGAAUGGAAAGUUCAUGCUGUGACGGUACUUAACCAGAAAGGGACGGCUAACUACGUGCCAGCAGCCGCGGUAAUACGUAGGUCCCGAGCGUUGUCCGGAUUUAUUGGGCGUAAAGCGAGCGCAGGCGGUUAGAAAAGUCUGAAGUGAAAGGCAGUGGCUCAACCAUUGUAGGCUUUGGAAACUGUUUAACUUGAGGGCAGAAGGGGAGAGUGGAAUUCCAUGUGUAGCGGUGAAAUGCGUAGAUAUAUGGAGGAACACCGGUGGCGAAAGCGGCUCUCUGGUCUGUAACUGACGCUGAGGCUCGAAAGCGUGGGGAGCGAACAGG